rnacentral:rRNA from 1 species
UACAGAGGGUGCAAGCGUUAAUCGGAUUUACUGGGCGUAAAGCGCGCGUAGGCGGCUAAUUAAGUCAAAUGUGAAAUCCCCGAGCUUAACUUGGGAAUUGCAUUCGAUACUGGUUAGCUAGAGUGUGGGAGAGGAUGGUAGAAUUCCAGGUGUAGCGGUGAAAUGCGUAGAGAUCUGGAGGAAUACCGAUGGCGAAGGCAGCCAUCUGGCCUAACACUGACGCUGAGGUGCGAAAGCAUGGGUAGCAAACAGG